rnacentral:rRNA from 1 species
GACGAACGCUGGCGGCGUGCUUAACACAUGCAAGUCGAACGGAAAGGCCCCUUCGGGGGUACUCGAGUGGCGAACGGGUGAGUAACACGUGGGUGAUCUGCCCUGCACUUUGGGAUAAGCCUGGGAAACUGGGUCUAAUACCGAAUACACCCUUCUGAUCGCAUGGUCUGGGAGGGGAAAGCUUUUGCGGUGUGGGAUGGGCCCGCGGCCUAUCAGCUUGUUGGUGGGGUGAUGGCCUACCAAGGCGACGACGGGUAGCCGGCCUGAGAGGGUGACCGGCCACACUGGGACUGAGAUACGGCCCAGACUCCUACGGGAGGCAGCAGUGGGGAAUAUUGCACAAUGGGCGCAAGCCUGAUGCAGCGACGCCGCGUGGGGGAUGACGGCCUUCGGGUUGUAAACCUCUUUCAGCAUCGACGAAGCGCAAGUGACGGUAGAUGCAGAAGAAGCACCGGCCAACUACG